GCCUGGGUGGCGGAAUAGGUAGACGCAAGGGACUUAAAAUCCCUUGGGGCUUGUCCCCGUGCCGGUUCAAUUCCGGCCCUAGGUACCA
rnacentral:tRNA from 2 species